GUGCUCACUUUGGCAGCGCAUAUACUAAAAUUGGAACAAUAUAAAGAAGAUUAGCAUGGCCCCUGCACAAGGAUAACAAGCAAAUUCGUGAAGCAUUCCCCGGCCCC